rnacentral:rRNA from 1 species
GUCUAUGGCCAUGCCACCCUGAACAUGCCCGAUCUCGUCUGAUCUCGGAAGCUAAGCAGGGUCAGACCUGGUUAGUACUUGGAUGGAAGGCCACCUAGGAAUACCAGGUGUUUUAGGUG